rnacentral:misc_RNA from 1 species
GAUGAAGAACGUAGCGAAAUGCGAUACGUAAUGUGAAUUGCAAAUUCAGUGAAUCAUCGAGUCUUUGAACGCACAUUGCGCCCCCUGGUAUUCCGGGGGGCAUGCCUGUCCGAGCGUCAUUGCUGCCCUCAAGCACGGCUUGUGUGUUGGGCCCAGUCCUCCGAUCCCGGGGGACGGGCCCGAAAGGCAGCGGCGGCACCGCGUCCGGUCCUCGAGCGUAUGGGGCUUUGUCACCCGCUCUGUAGGCCCGGCCGGCGCUUGCCGAUCAACCCAAAUUUUUAUCCAGGUUGACCUCGGAUCAGGUAGGGAUACCCGCUGAACUUAAGCAUAUCAAUAAGCGGAGGA